rnacentral:rRNA from 1 species
UGGGGAAUUUUGGACAAUGGGCGAAAGCCUGAUCCAGCAAUGCCGCGUGUGUGAAGAAGGCCUUCGGGUUGUAAAGCACUUUUGUCCGGAAAGAAAUCCUUGGCUCUAAUACAGUCGGGGGAUGACGGUACCGGAAGAAUAAGCACCGGCUAACUACGUGCCAGCAGCCGCGGUAAUACGUAGGGUGCAAGCGUUAAUCGGAAUUACUGGGCGUAAAGCGUGCGCAGGCGGUUUGCUAAGACCGAUGUGAAAUCCCCGGGCUCAACCUGGGAACUGCAUUGGUGACUGGCAGGCUAGAGUAUGGCAGAGGGGGGUAGAAUUCCACGUGUAGCAGUGAAAUGCGUAGAGAUGUGGAGGAAUACCGAUGGCGAAGGCAGCCCCCUGGGCCAAUACUGACGCUCAUGCACGAAAGCGUGGGGGAGCAAACAGGAUUAGAUACCCUGGUAGUCCAGCGCCCUAAACGAUGUCAACUAGUUGUUGGGGACUUCAUUUCCUUAGUAACGUAGCUAACGCGUGAAGUUGACCGCCUGGGGAGUACGGUCG